rnacentral:rRNA from 1 species
CCUACGGGAGGCAGCAGUGGGGAAUUUUGGACAAUGGGCGAAAGCCUGAUCCAGCAAUGCCGCGUGCAGGAAGAAGGCCUUCGGGUUGUAAACUGCUUUUGUACGGAACGAAACGGUUCGCUUUAAUACAGUGGGCUAAUGACGGUACCGUAAGAAUAAGCACCGGCUAACUACGUGCCAGCAGCCGCGGUAAUACGUAGGGUGCGAGCGUUAAUCGGAAUUACUGGGCGUAAAGCGUGCGCAGGCGGUUAUAUAAGACAGUUGUGAAAUCCCCGGGCUCAACCUGGGAAUUGCAUCUGUGACUGUAUAGCUAGAGUACGGUAGAGGGGGAUGGAAUUCCGCGUGUAGCAGUGAAAUGCGUAGAUAUGCGGAGGAACACCGAUGGCGAAGGCAAUCCCCUGGACCUGUACUGACGCUCAUGCACGAAAGCGUGGGGAGCAAACAGGAUUAGAUACCCUGGUAGUCCACGCCCUAAACGAUGUACAACUGGUUGUUGGUGCUAUUAGUACUCAGUAACGAAGCUAACGCGNGAGUAGACGCCGUGGAGGUACGGCCGGCGAGUAGUUAACGUUACGUAAGUUAGAAGUAGACGGCGNGAGAGNGCGAGGACGACGACGAGGGAGGAGG